UUUGGAAUGAUGAUUGCUGCUGCUUGCUUUUUUCUAUUCGCAUUGCUGAUUCAUCAAGAAUCAGCUCAGCUUUUGGAUUGGAAUUGUGUAAAAGACCCACCGGAUCACAACGAACGCGUUCCUUGGCUGGCAUUUAUAAUGACGCCCUCAAAGAACUGCUCGGGAGCGCUUAUAAGCAAACAAUUUGUCAUAACCGCUGCGAACUGCGUGGUUGCUGAAAAGGAAAGCUCAGUUCGUUUGAACUCCGAAGUUUACCCCGUCCAAUAUACCUACUUAACUUCCAAUGACAGUUUUACGAUGGAUAUAGCUCUGCUAAAGCUUAAAGAGCCUGUAAUCUAUAAACCCUAUGUGAGGCCAAUAUGCAUUUUGUUGAGCGAUCUUGUGCUAAAAACCGGCAGGAUUUUAAAAGACACCCGUUGGGGCUUAACUGGAUCGCCUGCAACGAAAACAAUUACUAAAUUUAAGAAUGCAAAGUGCUAUAGCUCCUUCGGAAAGCGGCUCAAUGAAUUCCAGAUCUGUGCUGGCUACAGCAACAACGAUCAAUGCGAGGAAAUGGGAAGUCCAUUGGGAAUUGAUGCAAAUAGUCAGAAUGCAAAUAUUUACAUACUAGCCGGAAUUCAGAGCUAUGGCGCUUUAGGAACUUGUGUCUACUCCAAUAUCUUAAGUACUGAUAAGGCCCAAGUUUUGUUAUUGAACACACGUCGCUAGUGUUUCAGUUGUGGAAAAGCAUUUGGUCUGGAACGAUGACUUUCUUUGUUUUUGGUGUUUUGUUCUCAUGUCUGCUGCUUCAUCAGGGAUCGGCCCAGCUUCUGGAUUUAAAUUGUGCCGACAUAUCCAAAAAUUCGAUAUCAAAAAGUCCAUGGAUGGCAUUGGUUCAACUGCCCGAUAAAAAUUGCAGUGGCACCCUGAUUCACAAACAAUUUGUGGUAGCAUCAACAAAUUGUGUGUUUAAUCAAAGCGAACUCACCGUUCUUUUGGGCGUUUUCAACAGUAAACUACACAAAAAGCAUUACGACAUGUAUCCCACCAUGCAAAUUUCUGUCCAAAACGUCUUCAUUCACAAUAAAUUUGACAGAGACAACUAUAAAAAUGAUUUAGCUCUGCUCCAACUAGAACAACCUGUGCCCUAUAAAGAAAACAUACGGCCCAUAUGCAUUUGGUUAAACAGAAAGAAAAUCCAAAACGAAAAAAAAAUUAUGAAAACAACACUUUGGGACGUAACUAAGAAAAUGGUGUUUCCAAUUCCACAAACCAGAAACGUAACUCUCUUUUCACCAAUCGAGUGUAAGCAUGUCUUGGAUGUUUCUCCCGAUGAAUCGCAUAUUUGUGCUGGUUACAAGUUUAAUGCCUCGUGCGUGGAAGCUGGAAGUCCUUUGUUUCAAAAGUUGAACAUUUGGAAUACAAAUCGUACCACACUUAUUGGAAUUCAGAGUUAUGGCGUUUCGGGAACUUGUCUAUUUACGAGUAUCUCUAGCUAUAUUGAUUGGAUAGUUGGGAUCGUGAUGGAGGUAGAUGUUAUAGUUUCGAAUUGAGAAGAUAUAAAUUAACGAAAAAUAAAUUUUCUAAAUAAACUA